rnacentral:rRNA from 1 species
UACGAAGGGGGCUAGCGUUGUUCGGAUUUACUGGGCGUAAAGCGCACGUAGGCGGAUCGAUCAGUCAGGGGUGAAAUCCCGGGGCUCAACCUCGGAACUGCCCUUGAUACUGGCGAUCUUGAGUAUGAGAGAGGUAUGUGGAACUCCGAGUGUAGAGGUGAAAUUCGUAGAUAUUCGGAAGAACACCAGUGGCGAAGGCGACAUACUGGCUCAUUACUGACGCUGAGGCGCGAAAGCGUGGGGAGCAAACAGG